UACGUAGGGACCAAGCGUUGUUCGGAUUUACUGGGCGUAAAGGGCGCGUAGGCGGCGUGGUAAGUCACUUGUGAAAUCUCUGAGCUUAACUCAGAACGGCCAAGUGAUACUGCUGUGCUAGAGUGCAGAAGGGGCAAUCGGAAUUCUUGGUGUAGCGGUGAAAUGCGUAGAUAUCAGGAGGAACACCUAUUGCGAAGGCAGCUCGCUGGGACGUAACUGACGCUGAGACGCGAAAGCGUGGGGAGCAAACAGG
rnacentral:rRNA from 1 species